rnacentral:rRNA from 1 species
GACGAACGCUGGCGGCGUGCUUAACACAUGCAAGUCGAGCGGUAAGGCCCUUUCGGGGGUACACGAGCGGCGAACGGGUGAGUAACACGUGGGUGACCUGCCCUCAGCUCUGGGAUAAGCCUGGGAAACCGGGUCUAAUACUGGAUAUGACUCCAUGACGCAUGUUGUGGGGUGGAAAGCCUUGUGCGGCUGAGGAUGGGCCCGCGGCCUAUCAGCUUGUUGGCGGGGNGAUGGCCUACCAAGGCGACGACGGGUAGCCGGCCUGAGAGGAUGAUCAGCCACACUGGGACUGAGACACGGCCCAGACUCCUACGGGAGGCAGCAGUGGGGAAUAUUGGACAAUGGGCGAAAGCCUGAUCCAGCAAUGCCGCGUGUGUGAAGAAGGCCUGCGGGUUGUAAAGCACUUUCAGUGGGAAGAAAG